rnacentral:rRNA from 1 species
AAAGGGCGCACGGUGGAUGCCUUGGCACUAGGAGCCGAUGAAGGACGGGACUAACACCGAUAUGCUUCGGGGAGCUGUAAGUAAGCUUUGAUCCGGAGAUUUCCGAAUGGGGAAACCCACUGUUCGUAAUGGAACAGUAUCUUUACCUGAAUACAUAGGGUACUGAAGGCAGACCCGGGGAACUGAAACAUCUAAGUACACGGAGGAAGAGAAAGCAAACGCGAUUUCCUGAGUAGCGGCGAGCGAAACGGAAUUAGCCCAAACCAAGAGGCUUGCCUCUUGGGGUUGUAGGACACUCAACAUGGAGUUACAAAGGAACGGGGUAAAUGAAGCGAUCUGGAAAGGUCCGUCAAAGAAGGUAAAAACCCUGUAGUUG